UGGGGAAUUUUGGACAAUGGGCGAAAGCCUGAUCCAGCAAUGCCGCGUGUGUGAAGAAGGCCUUCGGGUUGUAAAGCACUUUUGUCCGGAAAGAAAUCCUUGGCUCUAAUACAGUCGGGGGAUGACGGUACCGGAAGAAUAAGCACCGGCUAACUACGUGCCAGCAGCCGCGGUAAUACGUAGGGUGCAAGCGUUAAUCGGAAUUACUGGGCGUAAAGCGUGCGCAGGCGGUUUGCUAAGACCGAUGUGAAAUCCCCGGGCUCAACCUGGGAACUGCAUUGGUGACUGGCAGGCUAGAGUAUGGCAGAGGGGGGUAGAAUUCCACGUGUAGCAGUGAAAUGCGUAGAGAUGUGGAGGAAUACCGAUGGCGAAGGCAGCCCCCUGGGCCAAUACUGACGCUCAUGCACGAAAGCGUGGGGAGCAAACAGGAUUAGAUACCCUGGUAGUCCACGCCCUAAACGAUGUCAACUAGUUGUUGGGGAUUCAUUUCCUUAGUAACGUAGCUAACGCGUGAAGUUGACCGCCUGGGGGAGUACGGUCGCAAGAUUAAAACUCAAAGGAAUUGACGGGGUCAUA
rnacentral:rRNA from 1 species